ensembl:processed_transcript
UGACUCGACUCGACCGCAAACAAGCGCCCUCACCACAGACAACGCCUGCCUCGUCUCUUCACCCUACGUAUUCAUCCUCGUACAAUGAAGUAAAGGUGAAAUUACUAAAGUUAAGGUGUACCUGAUAAUAGCUGAAGUGUGAGCCACAGCCAUUGAUGUUGAAACACUGAUGCUACCAAUCACCCCUCGCUUGAUUAUUAAAGUGGUCAUGGGACCUCACCUGGAUUUCACAACUGACUUUGGAUCUGGUCUGAAACUGAAGUAUGCUGAAGAUGCCUUUUGCACUCUGGAAUUUAAGGGCCGUGUUGCAGACACAAUUUGUUUGUCUGUGCUGGAGACCAGAGGGGAAGGUGUCUUUAAAAGGAUGGGGCUCUUAUACCAUAUGUG